rnacentral:rRNA from 1 species
UACAGAGGUCUCAAGCGUUGUUCGGAUUUAUUGGGCGUAAAGAGCGUGUAGGCGGUUUUACAGGUCCGCUGUGAAAACUCGAGGCUCAACCUCGAGCUGUCGGUGGAAACCGUAAGGCUAGAGUCCGGAAGAGGAGAGUGGAAUUCCUGGUGUAGCGGUGAAAUGCGCAGAUAUCAGGAAGAACACCCGUGGCGAAGGCGGCUCUCUGGGACGGUACUGACGCUGAGACGCGAAAGCGUGGGGAGCGAACAGG